rnacentral:rRNA from 1 species
UGGGGAAUAUUGGACAAUGGGGGAAACCCUGAUCCAGCCAUGCCGCGUGAAUGAUGAAGGCCUUCGGGUUGUAAAGUUCUUUUGGUGGGGACGAUGAUGACGGUACCCACAGAAUAAGCUCCGGCUAACUUCGUGCCAGCAGCCGCGGUAAUACGAAGGGAGCUAGCGUUGUUCGGAAUUACUGGGCGUAAAGGGCGCGUAGGCGGUCUAAUAAGUCAGGUGUGAAAGCCCUGGGCUCAACCCGGGAACUGCGCUUGAUACUAUUAGUCUUGAAUUCGGGAGAGGUUGGUAGAAUUCCCAGUGUAGAGGUGAAAUUCGUAGAGAUUGGGAAGAAUACCCGUGGCGAAGGCGGCCAACUGGACCGACAUUGACGCUGAGGCGCGAAAGCGUGGGGAGCAAACA